AGUGAACGCUGGCGGUAGGCCUAACACAUGCAAGUCGAACGGCAGCACAGUAAGAGCUUGCUCUUACGGGUGGCGAGUGGCGGACGGGUGAGGAAUACAUCGGAAUCUACUUUUUCGUGGGGGAUAACGUAGGGAAACUUACGCUAAUACCGCAUACGACCUAUGGGUGAAAGCAGGGGAUCUUCGGACCUUGCGCGAUUGAAUGAGCCGAUGUCGGAUUAGCUAGUUGGCGGGGUAAAGGCCCACCAAGGCGACGAUCCGUAGCUGGUCUGAGAGGAUGAUCAGCCACACUGGAACUGAGACACGGUCCAGACUCCUACGGGAGGCAGCAGUGGGGAAUAUUGGACAAUGGGCGCAAGCCUGAUCCGGCCAUACCGCGUGGGUGAAGAAGGCCUUCGGGUUGUAAAGCCCUUUUGUUGGGAAAGAAAAGCAGCAGGUUAAUACCCCGCUGUUCUGACGGUACCCAAAGAAUAAGCACCGGCUAACUUCGUG
rnacentral:rRNA from 1 species